GUGUAAUUAGUUACAGUACAUUAUCGCUUUCUCUUCCCUUUCCCUGUAAAUAUCUGUAUUCAUUCAUAAGAUUAUGUGUCACUGAACAACCUUCUCUGCUUAAUGACAUUGACAGUGAUGAUUGACAGGGCUUGUGUGAUUGGCUGAUUGUCUCGGUGCGAUGGGGGCGGCUUCCACCCCCCAAAAUGUUUCGGAUGGUCUCGUGAUGAAGGUGAUUACCAAAGUUUGGGCCUUGCUGGGACCUGCUGACCUCCACCUGUCGACAUUUCUGGUAAAACAAUUAGACUACAGCCGCAACAGCGCCCCUCACGCCAUAGACCGGUCAUAGGCUGACACCUGGUGGGUUGAGCUCUUCAGAAGCACGCGGCGCUGAGCUGAGUAGCUUGUUGCUGCUGUGGACGUCUGUCCGAGUGCAAGAAGGGAUCACGCGUUGCAGCCUGCGUGUGUCUCUCUGUCUUCCUCACCCCUCACCCCUCACCCCUGUCUCUCUGCGUGUGUCCUCAGGGGAGGGGGCAGCAGCCGUUGGAGCUCAGGCAGGGGUUUCCGGUGGGGAGGAGUGCCUCUGGGUGGAGUGCAGGAGGAGGAGCUGUGACUAAAUCUUUUGUUAUCUCGCCUUCUGCACACCAAUCCUGGCUGCCUGACGUAAAGGCUUUAUGCACAGAGUUCCCAUGAAGCUUGCGAGCUCCUCAGCAGUACAAACAGGACCCAGACUGGGUCAGAUGGGUCAGAUUGGAUCUUGGUGGGUCACUAUAGGUGCAGGGCUCACAGCACAACACCCCAGACCUCUGCAUACUGUUGUGCUCUGUCUAGAUUAAAGCCAUUUAGAGGCAGUUUACUUACCCUUCCGGUCUCUGUGUGAGCUCCCACCCUGGGACAGGUUAGUCCUGGGACAGACCCCUGUAAAUAGCACACAGGGACAGGGUUCUGUUGUGUUACUCCGGUAGCACAUAUACUAAAAUUGGAACGAUACAGAGAAGAUUAGCAUGGCCCCUGCGCAAGGAUGACACGCAAAUUCGUGAAGCGUUCCUCAUUUUUAAUUUUUUUAUUUAAUGUGACACAGCGCCCCCCCCGUGGCCGGUGGCGGUACUGCGGCGGGUAGCGGAGCAGCGUCUCUGUUUAAAACUCUUUCCCUCUGGGGAAACUACAACAAAACCAACAAAAAAAUCUGGACUUUUAUGACUCUGCUGUACUCAAGUGUGGAUAUACAGCCUUUUUGUUCACUCUGUGCCGGAGAAAGGAGCCGGGAGGAGGACUCUGCCCUGCAGAGGGUGAUUGCGCAACUGAAGUGCCGCACUCUGGGCAACAGUGCUGCCGGGCAGCUCAUCGGGGUGGAGUUCCUGUACCAGGAGUGCUUGGACCCUGACACUGCUGCCAUCAAGUCGCUCGAGGAGGAUGUUGAGGACACUACUGUCCUCGAGGCCAUCAGCACAGCGGCGGCAGCCCGGUCAGGUGAUCCAGCUGACGCACCCAGGUCUGAGCCAUCUGGUCCGGUCACCCUGACCAAGAUGCCCCUCUCCGAGGCCCCUGAGGUUUAGACUCCUGCUCCCCAGCAGUCCUCCUCAGACUCUGAGGAGGAGAUGCAGGGACCUGAUGGCCAGCCAGGAUAUCAGCAUGUCCUGAAGCUGGCCCAGGCCCUGCUGGAAGCACGGAGCCUUCAGGGGCUUUCUGACAGGAGGGUCGACAGACUCAUCGCGCUCUGGCAUCGCCUGCCAGAGCAGGACAAACAGCGAGUUGUCUACCCUUCAAGGAAGCGCACGGGAAGGACACUUCCUGUCCUGGGAAGGAGAGUCUCCGACGCUGCCUUCUCGGACUGAACUUGGGCUCUGCAAACUGGCCCAGUGCCAGCCGCCUGGUGGAGGCCACUUGCAGCCAGCUCUGAUGGGAUCAGGAGGACUCAGUGGUCCCUCAUCCUCACGGACUACGUGGCCAUUAGAGAGGCAGUGCUGGCCAGCCCCAGGUUGAUGCCGGGGAGCUAAACCCGCCGGCAGACAUCGCAGUCGAUCUGCAGUCGACACUGGCCACUCUGGUGUCGUACUGUGCGGCUGACGGCGGGAAAACUGUGGAUGAGUGGAGGGAGGAAAUGAAGAGGAGACCCUCGGGGGACAUUUUGUUUUAUCUUUAUUAAUUAAUUUUUAUACCAUUUUUAUUAUUUAAAAAUCUAUAUUUUAUUAUUUUUCUUGAACACUUUUUUUAUUUUUGUUGCAUGUGGAGUCAUGUUUGUGUCACCUGAUAAUUGUAAAUUCAAUAUUCUCUCUUUUAACCAACUCCUGAGGGAAAUAUCUGGCUUUUUAGCUGCUAAAUGU